ACCUCAAGAUUUUAAUGGAUUUCAAACAAUCCCAAUUGAAUAUCCUCGGAUUUCAUGAAUGCAAAAAAAUGAUUUAAAAUCCCAAUCCAAUACACACCUCUAAAUUGAGAACCUGGCUCUCGGGACAAAAAUAUAAAACAGAGAGACGAGAGGGAGUUUGGGAGAUUAGGAGUGGAGCUCUGGACUUCUGGGGAGAUUGAUAAUCACAGCUGUCGCAUCAAUCAUCAAUUCAUCAUCCAAUUUUCUUCUAUCUAAGAUUCUUCUGGGCUUACUUUCUUUCUACUAAAAAAAAAUAAUACAGGAAAGCCUCACAAGUUUAAUCCGGAUUGGUCUGGAGAAUUUCAUGAUUGGUUGGAGUAUAGUGAAAGUAAAGAUGCUGUCUUUUGUCUAUUUUGUUACUUUUUUAAUAUCGAAUUAGGUGAUCAUAGAUUUAAUCAUGACUCAUUUGUUAGGGAAGGCUUUCGAAAUUGGAAAAAGAAAGAUAGGCUUAAAAAGCAUAUUGAUGAACAUCAUAGUAGUCACAGGAAAUGCAAGAAAGCUUGUGAGGAUUUACUAAAACAAAAACAACAUGUUGAUAUUAUGAUAGCCGGAAUUUCAGCUCAAGCUAAGGCUAACUACCGAACUCGGCUUAAUGCAUCAAUGGAAUGUGUAAGAUUGCUUUUAAUGCAAGCAUUGCCAUUUCGUGGUCAUGAUGAGUCGGAGGAUUCAAAAAAUCAAGAAGCAUUGCCAUUGGUUUUAAUUUCUCAAGGCACUUUGGAAACCGGAAGAGGCAUGAAUCAAGAAGUUACUUUAAAACGUCCGGGAGAAAUACGUUGGAGUUCACACUAUAAUACUAUUAUUAGUGUGAUUUCUCUUUUUUCUUCUACACUUGAAGUGCUGGAAGAAAUGAAAAAAAUUGCCAUCAUUUGCAAUUCACAAAGGUGAAAUAAGUCGCCUUAUUGAAAUUAUGGGUGAAUAUGAAUUUGCAUUCUUGCUCUUUUUUAUGAGAAAUGUGUUGGCAAUUACUAAUGAUC